GAACGCCACCCACAUCUCCCUCGUUUCAAUUCCAUCUCUUAAUUCUCAGGUUGUCAAUUCCCUUUACAUUUCAAUUUCCGAUAUGAAUUCUCCAUUUCCUGAUAGAGAUACCACUUACACUAAGCUUUUCGUCGGAGGUUUGGCAUGGGAAACUCAGAGCCACACCUUACGUCGUCACUUCCAGCACUACGGUGACAUCCUUGAGGCCGUCGUCAUCUAUGACAAGAACACCGGCCGUUCUAAAGGCUACGGUUUCGUCACUUUUCGUGAUCCUGACUCUGCCAGAAGGGCUUGUGCUGACCCUAAUCCUCUCAUCGAUGGUCGCAGGGCUAACUGUAAUCUUGCUUCCCUCGGCCGUGCUUCUGCUCCUCAGAGAUCACCGAUUCCGCCUUUUGGAACCACGAACUCCCCUAGGGCUGCUUAUCCCCAACCAGUUCCCUACGGUUACCAACCUGGGUUCUUCUAUCCUCCUUAUGGGUAUG
rnacentral:misc_RNA from 1 species